rnacentral:rRNA from 1 species
AACGCUGGCGGCAUGCCUAACACAUGCAAGUCGAACGUGAUCCUGGGUUUCGGCCUGGGGACAGCGGCGAACGGGUGAGUAACACGUGGGUAAUCAACCCUCGACACUGGGAUAGCCCGGGGAAACCCGGAUUAAUACCGGAUGGCCCUUUGGAUCUUCGGAUCUGACGGGAAAGGUAGCUUCGGCCUCCGGUCGAGGACGAGCCCGCGGCGGAUUAGCUUGUUGGUGGGGUAACGGCUCACCAAGGCGACGAUCCGUAGCUGGUCUGAGAGGACGAUCAGCCACACUGGGACUGAGACACGGCCCAGACUCCUACGGGAGGCAGCAGUGGGGAAUCUUGCGCUAAUGCGGGCAACCGUGACGCAGCGACGCCGCGUGAGGGAAGAAGGCCUUCGGGUUGUAAACCUCUUUCAGGAGGGACGAAGCCACUCGGGUGAAUAGCCCAGAGGGUGACGGUACCUCCAGAAGAAGCCCCGGCUAACUACGUGCCAGCCGCCGCCGUAAUAC